CCUACGGGUGGCAGCAGUGAGGAAUAUUGGUCAAUGGGCGCGAGCCUGAACCAGCCAAGUAGCGUGAAGGAUGACUGCCCUACGGGUUGUAAACUGCUUUUAUAAGGGAGUAAAGUGAGGCACGUGUGCCUGUCUGUAUGUACUGUAUGAAUAAGGAUCGGCUAACUCCGUGCCAGCAGCCGCGGUAAUACGGAGGAUCCGAGCGUUAUCCGGAUUUAUUGGGUUUAAAGGGAGCGUAGAUGGGUUGUUAAGUCAGUUGUGAAAGUUUGCGGCUCAACCGUAAAAUUGCAAUUGAUACUGGCCGUCUUGAGUGCAGUUGCGGUAGGCGGAAUUCGUGGUGUAGCGGUGAAAUGCUUAGAUAUCACGCAGAACUCCGAUUGCGAAGGCAGCUUACUAAACUGCCACUGACAUUGAUGCUCGAAAGUGUGGGUAUCAAACAGGAUUAGAUACCCCUGUAGUC
rnacentral:rRNA from 1 species